ensembl:lncRNA
GGGGAGGGGGGAGCAUAGACAGCUCCCGGACCCCUCCACACUACCCAGCAGGGCUGCACUGGAGGCCUUCCCACCCCUCCACAGCAGGCAGCUUCUGUUUGGAGGAGAUCCCCGGCUGUUCUCGGCUGCUGUCCCCUGGCAGUCCCCGGAAUGCGGCCAACUGUCUGUGAAAACCCCCCUUUGAUAAUGGAAAUCCCCCCCCCCCCCCCCCCCACCACCACCGCUGACAUGCACAGAUUACCGAGCUGAUGGAACGAUCCACAUGGGCAAAAGAUGCAGGCGUGUUUAUUUCGUGCUGGGUGCAGCUGUUUGGACCCAUCGAGCUCUCUGAUUAUUCAGAGGUUGAAAUGGUCUUGGUACAUAUAUGUGAGAUGUAUUUUUCUGAGGAGCCCCCCUCUUGAAGUACCUCAGGGGCCCAAUGCGAGAACAACAAGAAGAUAUUCAGUCAUUUUUUUUCCUUCUUUCUAGAUCUGAGCGACUGCCGAAGAGAGAGGAGGCAACUUAGGGUUAAAGGUCAGACUCUGUUCCCUUUUAACUAAAUAGCAGCUUAUACUGAAAUGUGUACUUGCUCCCAUUGGGAGUCAUUGGGAACCCAAAACAAAGCAAUGAUUCUUUUUACUUUGCUCCUAGAGAAUCGUUUGUGUUCCAUAAUCUCUUUGCUUUAAUUCAGUCUUAUUUUGUGAUAAAAGUUGCUGUUUAUAUAUGUUGAAACACUGGUUCCCCCCACGGAGAGUGUCAGGGGUCUAAAAUGACGGAUUUGCGGUUGCAUUAGAUCGAUUAUAUUAAAUAGCAUCAGGAUGUCUUCCCAGACGAUGUGCCACAGUCAUUAACUCCCGGUCCACUUGUACACAAAUGCUACAUUGUGUUGGGGAAAAGUGAUUUUUAUCCCGCGAGGGUCCGACCAAAGCUGCUUAGUUGCAUAUUUAGCUGGUUUGAUUAGAGCUCAUUUGACUGGAACAUCCUCCGCCUAAACCCAAAGUGUACAAAAGGAGGCUGACGCUGUGAAUAUAUGAAUGGAAAAUCAGCACGUCUGCUUUGACCCCUCGAGGACGCCGCCGCUCCUCGGUGGAACAAUUAUGGACGCGCCCACUGUUUAGAUGCAGCGUAAACCGCCGCCGCCGCGUCAUCGGGAGGAAUCUUUCGUCACCCGAUGAAUCUGAUGUUUCUCGCGCCGAAUAGUGAACAGCACGGAGGACAAGUCGGCGCUUUGUUGCUCGUAUCGGCGCCACAUGCCCACAUUAAUAUUGAUGUGGAAAUGUGUCACAUUUUCAGUGUUGGAACAAGUGGUCUUCUUCCUGCGCGGCGUUUUUUGGCCGAUUGGGUGUUUUAAUGAGCAAUCUGUAAGUGGCAGUAAAAAGUUUGGUAAUUUCUAACAAAAAACAUCAUCAACAUCAACAUAAUUUCCCACACAUUCCCCAAAUCAUCCUGUGCACAAUUAUGUAAGAUGCCUUAAGGACAACUAUCUUCUAUUCAAGAUAUGGGAGGAUAACCAGUAGAUGCAUACUAUGCUCUACAUGUAAGUCCAAUUAAAAGGCAACUACAUCAAACUGAACACUGACUUUAUUCAUGCACGUUUUGGCACACGGGUUUUCCUUCCACCUGGUUGGUUCAGCAUUAAGAGGACUUAAAUCUGUGAAACCCUUAAAGUCUGUAUUCAACCGCCCCUGCUGGUUCAGUCAGGGUUCGCCGGCUAUUUACCGAGGAAUCGCGAGCGAUUCCGGCCUCGUUAAAUCCCAUUUCGUUGCUGCCGCGCGCGGAGCUCGGCCUCCUCCGGCCGCGCAGAGGUGGAGGACGACCCGCAGAGCGGCCCAAUCUUUCAUCCUUAUUGCCAGUGACACAGAGAUGUGAGAGGGUGGAGCGCGCCCUCCUCUUCCGCCCGCCGCCCAAUUCCCUUUAAACAAUGCAAUUGGCCGAGGCAGAGGAGGUUAAACCGUCGAGUCCCAGGGCUCCCGUCUCUCUCUCUCUCUCUCUCUCCUGGAAUAAAUGCCGGUUUAAGGCUAACAAACAGGGAACAAGGAGUCUAUUAGCGUCUGACUUACUCCAUGACACAUGAAGAUGUUAACCCCCCCCCACAUCCCUCACCAUGUCUCUGCAGGCUCCAGGUUCUUGUUGCAAAGGGCACAUUUUCAUCACACGUGAAUCAUUUGUCUCCACAGUCAUUCUUUCAAAUAAUUAAAGUGCAAAUUGAAUUUUGAUUAAGAUUACUUUAUGUUGAAAGACAAACGUCGCCAAUCAAAGUUUUCGUCAUUUUAGCUUGAUUUUUUUUGGUGUGAUUACUUCUUCUUCUUCUGCUCUCCUGCUUUCACGCCCCAAAUCGCUCCCCGCGCGGAUGUUAUCAGGCGAAGUGAUGAUUUCCAUUUGAAUUUUUCAAAACACCGAAGAGUGUGUUUUCUCGCUGUGAUUCGGUAUUGAUUAAACCAGAGCUGCCGCAUGCAGGCAGAGCGCUGCUGGGGGGCCGUGACGGGCACCGUCAAGGUGAAUAGCGGACGGUGUCCAUCGCAGGGGGGGUGUGGGACAUAUUGCCUACGUAUCCGGGACAUGUUCAUCGCAGGUUUUUGCUUUUGUUCUCGCAGGUGGAGAUUCUGAUCUCUGUUUUGUGAUCAUCGGCCUAAUUCUGCCGAGUCGAGAGCGUCCCGCCCGUCAGGCGGCGUGGAAGGUAUCUGGCAGCACCUCAUGUCCUCUACGCUUAUUGCCUCCCCCCCCCCCCCCCACCCCCACUAAACCAGGUGCUUGCAGGGAGAAAAAGACAGUUUGGACCACCCAGUUAAAGGACUGAGGGACAGAGAUUUUUAUUUUUUCUAUUAUAGUUGCACGCCGCUUUUCGUCAAUUAGCCCAUUUGGCACCGGGUUAGCGUCCAGGAAACCCAGGCGGUCGGGGGAACUGCCACGGAAGCAGGUUUAAGCACUUUGCCGCCGCCGCCGCAGCGGGUUCCUUUUUAGACCAAAGCGGCGAUCGGGUUCAAAGAUGGAGGUUCGUCACGACCAGCGAGAGAUAGGAAGAGGUUGGAAGCGGCGGAUAAGCCGGGUGUCGGGACGUGGGCUCUGUGUUGCCGCAGGAUUCCAUUCGGUGGAGUGUGCGCGUUGGUUCCUCCUCGGCGGACCAGCGGUGCAGCACCGGGAAGUAAUCUCCCCGCUGCAGCAGCGGAUCCAUCGGGAUGCCACAUGAUGAAGGGUGACCGUCACAUGGCCCGAAGAAGAGAAUCAAUUUGAAAUAGCGAUCCCUAACUUAUCUCCAGUGGCACCGAGACGCCCGUAAUGCCGCCGGAAGGCUGUUUCAGGGGAGGAUUUGCUUAUAACACGUUUUGCCCUUCUUUUUUUUUCCUUAUGUGCAGUGAACGUGAGGCCUCCAACCUCCCUUCUCACUCCACCAAUGAAUCUACUCUUACACGCGUCUUCCCGUAUGUGGUUGAUUGCUGAGGGGGUUGCUUAAUUACCACAGCCUCCGCGGGCAAUGAUGGCGAUUACCGCUCUCCAAAUCCCCACUAAUCCCCCACGACGGGCGGCGCCGAGUCCUCCGUCCCGCCGCCGAACCGCGGCCCUCCCAAAACAACAGCAACAACAACAACAACAACAACAGAGCUGCUCCUUGGUGCCCCCCCCCCCCGUGUUCCGCCGCGUUGUCUCCCCACUGUGAGCGUCGCUUCUGGUCGUCAGUCCCACUGAAUCCCUCGCACGUUGGUUCCCCCCCUGCUGGUGUGCGCGAGUCGAGGGGACCCUCGUGUGAAAAAGGCCACUCGUCUCUGUCGCAAUUACCCGCGGCGAGGGAUGGACGAGACGUGACCUCUGGUGACGGGUGUGCAAAGAGAAGGAGACACAGGAUGAGGGACUCUCUCCGGAGAACAUCUGGACUGAUGGGUUAUGUUUGUAUUGUAAGUGUUAAACGGAUGAAUGAGCUCAAUCACGUGGCAAUUUUUGCUUCUUACUUCCUUACUGCUCACUGUCGGGUACCACUACCAGAACCAUGUGACUCUUGGCGUUUCCUGCCACCAAUGCAGCCGUGCAUCCAACGGCAGACACACAAAGUCAGGGAUUGGCUUGUGGAGGUGGAGGAACAGACAUCCCACAUUUAAGAGGCUAAGACGGAGCUGUAGGGGCGACCAGCCGGGAGACACCUGCGCGACAUCACCGCCGCCGCCGCCGCCGAGCGCCACCGAGGGUGUUUGUGUGUCCAUCUGUGUGCGGCGGCUCGCGCACAGUAUCCGCAGCGUGCGCGAGAGAGCGGGAGAAGCUGAAAGCGGCACCUGUGUGCAUUGAAAAGGCUUCUCUGAAUAGCUCCAUAUUCGAAGAGCCACUUAUCCAGCGAUAGAGCUGUAAGUGAUUCGCGGCAGAUUCCUGCCGGCAGUGGAGAGAGAGCGCGAGAUUAAAUGAGAGCAUCAGCUGUAAUUAGGGAUGCUUUCCUCCUUUUGGAAGUGCAUGUCUCUGUCUUAGAGGGAAUUAGCGCUGGAGACCCUGGGUGGGCCCAAGCAAUACAACUUUAACCAAUUGAAGUUGGAAUAUUUUACAACCCAAUUCCAAAGAAAAGGCAGGAAUAUAUCUCGCCGACAAUAGGUGCUCCACACGAAAAAUCCUCCUCACACAACACUUCCUAUUCUAGACAAUCGUGCCGGCCGUUCGUGUGCAGCAUGUUUGCAGGAGCCUGAUAGUCUGCAGGGUCGUCAAUGAUCUUUUAGCAUUUGCAACAACAGCUUCUUUUUUGGUGUACACUGUUAUUAUUCAAUUCUAAAUGUUAAUAUUUGAAGGCAUGAACAAGGUGCUCAGUGGUUUCUUUAGUUGUAUAGAAGAGUUUCAAACGCUUCCCUUCCUUUUUCUUAGUGUAGGUGACCAUUCAAAUGCUCCUGACAUUUAGGAAAUUGUCCUCUUUGUUCACCCAACUCCCUUUUAUUCCGCCGCCUUUUUUCCUCUAAAUGCGGUUUUGCCCCUUUUUCGUUUCCGCUCUCUCGCCCUGUUGAUCCGUCGUCCUUCUUCCACCUCCUUCGCUCCAUAAAGGUUCACCUCUGAAGAGCUGUAAAGGCUCCUCUGUUCCGUUUAAUGGCUCCCAGCGUAGAGACUCAGCAGGGGUUCCACUCUGGUUCAAAUACAAAUGCUCGUGCGACGUUCGUCGACUUGAUCCCCAAUGUUGAACUGUCAGUUCUUUGUUUUUUCUGUAAUCAUCACAUUCCCAUCAAACAUCUCUGUGGCCCUUUUUGAGGUUCUUCGUUUACAUGUGAGGUAAAGCCAAACCAGCAUGUAUGUCCUCCACAACACCAGAGAUACCAAAUAAAGUUUGGUGGAUUCUGGAUUCUGAGAUGUGCUGUACUCUUGAGGUUGCCCUUUUAUUGAGGAAAUAUUCUCUCCAGCCGAGGAUGUUUUUCUCUUUUCAUGCAGUUCUUAUCCACACAGACAGAUAAGAGGUGCACGUUUAGGGCUCGCCGUCGUCCACAUUGGGCAGAACAUGCGAGGGCUGCAGCAGGGCCGCACUUCUUCUCCUGCUCAUUGAGGUGGAAGCACAAGAACGUGGGCCACAAAUCUGGACCGACCACGUCAGACACACACACACACACACACACUGAGCCAGUGAACCGGCGCUCAUGAACAGAGGAGCGAGCUGCGUGGCGUCCGGGCCGCGUGUUAGUUGGUAAUCAUUAACACGGACUCCCUGUUUGCUUUGUGCCAGCUAGAUGUCUGUUAGCUUUAAAUGCACAUGUGAGUGUGUGUUUGCGGGACGGGGGGGGGGUGGGGGGCGGCAGACACAUGUGCACCGCGUAGAGUAACAUCUGCUCACGCGCCGCAUGUUACAGUGUCGCAGGCCUCCUGUUCUCCAGGCGAGCGGAGGAGGGAGAUUUAUUGCAGCGCCGGCCGACCUUUAACGCGCCUCACAAUUAAUCCUCAGACAAAACAAGCAAACUCUUGGAAGGUAAGUCCAAGGUUUUCCCGAGGAGGGGAUCGAUUGGAUGCGAGAUGACCCGUCAAGGACAUGAUUGUGUGCCUGGGAGGGGAGGGGGGGGCAGAAAGCAGAGAGGACAAACUUUCACAUGAAACACAUCCGGGUCUUUUUUGUGAGGCUUUUGCAACGGAAAAGGUUUAAAUAUCAUGUCAGACGUCUUCUCGACUAAAUCUUCCCGACUCAUUUAUUUCAGCUCCCUGGAAGAAGUCGCGUGCGUCUCCCGCGCCGAGACAUUUACAGAGUCGACACAAAAUAAGUCAACGUAUUACGUCCCAUCACUAUUUAUUAAAUCUGUUGUAAUGGGAGUUGGUUUGAGCUUAAUGGAUAAAGAUAAAGACCCUUCAAGCUCCGACCAACUACCUCAGCAUCUCACGCCAACAAAGCACCGCCUGCGUUGGACGCCCUUCACACGCUGCCGGCGGGGCGUGAGGGUCGUGAGCGGCGUCUUAACGC